UGUUGGACGAACCUGUCCGGGUUCGUUUUCAAGGUUUGAAGGCUUCUGGGGUGGGAAGUC
rnacentral:ncRNA from 17 species